rnacentral:rRNA from 1 species
GACGUAGGGCGCGAGCGUUGUCCGGAUUUAUUGGGCGUAAAGAGCGCGCAGGCGGUCGUUCAAGUCGCGUGUGAAAGCCCCCCGGCUCAACUGGGGAGGGUCACGCGAUACUGAUCGACUGGAAGGCAGGAGAGGGUAGUGGAAUUCCCGGUGUAGUGGUGAAAUGCGUAGAUAUCGGGAGGAACACCAGUGGCGAAGGCGACUACCUGGCCUGUUCUUGACGCUGAGGCGCGAAAAGCGUGGGGAGCAAACAGGG